rnacentral:rRNA from 1 species
AUUGAACGCUGGCGGCAAGCCUAACACAUGCAAGUCGAACGAGUGGCGGACGGGUGAGUAAUGUCUGGGAAACUGCCUGAUGGAGGGGAAUAACUACUGGAAACGGUAGCUAAUACCGCAUACCAUCGGAUGUGCCCAUAUGGGAUUAGCUAGUAGGUGGGGUAAAGGCUCACCUAGUCGACGAUCCCUAGCUGGUCUGAGAGGAUGACCGGCCAACCUGGAACUAGGCCACGGUCCAGCCUCCUACGGGAGGCAGCAGUGGGGAAUAUUGCACAAUGGGCGCAAGCCUGAUGCAGCCAUGCCGCGUGUAUGAAGAGGGCCUUCGGGUUGUAAAGUACUUUCAGCGGGGAGGCGUUACCCGCAGAAGAAGCACCGGCUAACUCCGUGCCAGCAGCCGCGGUAAUUC